rnacentral:tRNA from 1 species
CAGGGAGUAGUUUAGGACAAGAAUAUCAGCUUUGGGAGUUGAAGGCGAAAUUUAUGUUUCUUCCCUGA